UGCCCAACUCGGCCUCCCAAAGUGUUGGGAUUACAGGUGUGAGCCACCUCACCCAGCUUCGUUCCAUCUCUUAUACUUAAACAGUUGCCUCUUAUUUCCUGCCUCAGCCCUUUUGGGGUUUCUACAGCUGAUUCUACUAAUGGCUUCCAUCGACCAGUGCAGGCUUUUCUCAUUUCUUCACUCAUAUCUUGUAGAAUUUCCUUUCUGGGGUCUGUGGUCUUGUCAUUAUCAUAUUCUCAGAUACUGGAUUCUUAUGUUGGGUUCUUGUGUUUCUUUUAUGUACUUAUUUAUAUAUGCUUUCCUUGGUGGGCUCUGGUGCCUUUUAGGCUAACUAACUGAAAAACAAUGUAUCCACAAAAUUAAAAUGCACUUUUCCAGUCCAAUUGACCCAAACAGAAUUAUACCACCAAAUUAGUUUUACUAGUUUUCUGUUUUUUUCAGUGAUAUCCAGGGUCCUGUCUUAAGCCUUAGCUCUUGGUGGUUCACUUACCCCAUGUUACAGUUUUGUUACUGCAUUAUAAGUAUCCCCAAAUCUCAGUGGCUUAAAACAACAACCAUUUUAUUAUAUUUCAUGAGUUUCUGGGUUAGGAGAUUAGGUAGGGCUUGGCUGGGCAAUUCUUCUUCUCCACGUGGUCUUGACUUGGUAUUUAGCUGGCAGCUGAGCUAGCCUGGUGGGUCUAAGGUAGCAUGAUUUAGUUGCCAGGCACAUUGCCAGAGAUGGCUGCCUGGCUGAAUGGCUGGGCUGGGCCCCUUCCUUCUCCAUGUCAUCUAUAACCUUCCCACAUGAUAUCUUUAGAGGAGUAGAUAGAUUUCCUACAUGGCAGCUUGGGGCUCCAAGAAUAAAAGUCUUCUCAGAGUCAGGAAGUAAAAGCUACCAGUCUCUUAAGGCUAAGACCUGGAACUGAGACAUCAUUUGUGCUGCAUCCUAUCAGUUAAAGUAGUCAAAGAGCCUGCCCACAUUCAAGAGGAAAAAACAUAGGCCCCUCUCCGUAAAGGGAGGUAUCUCAAAUAAUUUGUGGCCAUCUUUAAUCCACCAUAUCCCAGCAAAGUUCUAUUCUUUGACAGCAGGCUUUUUAGGUAGCGUCACAUUUUCAGCAACUAUUGCUACUGCGUGCCUGUCUUCUGCAUAUUUCCUGGUUGCCUAGAUUACGAUGUCAUGAGGAACUGAUUAGGCCCUUUGCAACUGUGUCUUACAUGAGCCACUGUAGCUCAGUCCCAUCCCUUAGCUUGUUCCUCUCCUGCCCAAUCAGAAAGUUAUGUUUUACACCCAAGCCAGCUUCCGUUGUGACAUCACACAUAAAAUGUGCGUAAAAUGCUUACAUCAAUUGCAUUGGCUCCUAGAAUUCAGAAAUUGCAGUGACUUAAACAAGAGAGUCAUUUGUUUCUCUCUCACAUAAAAGGAAUUUGAAAGAACAGAGUCAAGAUCAGAUAAUAAAGCUCAGAGAGGAUAGCCACUUCCUCAAGGACACAGAUGUUGCAGAUGUUGUAAAGGGUGAACACUGUACCAUUUAAAGGCUGAGAGAUUAGAGAGAGAAGACCACUCGGAGUCAGAAUUACUAAUGUGCUUUCAGUCUCCUGCCACUUAGUAGAUGAAGACACCACAGGUUUUGAGUAAAUGAAGAUCAGGAUCACAUAGUGCUGUUCUCAUUGGCUUUAUUCCCUGGACAAGAAGGCAGACAGUUAAGCAAGAGGAAGAAAGGAAAUACCCUUCUCUGCCUAAAAGAGGGGGAAAAAAAAGGCGAUUCUAGAGGAAAACAGCAUUCCAGGGAGAGACAGGAGACAAGAAAAAUCAGCUUACCUGUUGACAGAAAUGCAAGACACUUUGCCAUAAGUAAUUGCAGAAACCCGAAAAGUCGAACAAAAUUACUAUUUCUUUACAUUGUGUUUUAUAGUUUUACUUUGUUUCU
rnacentral:lncRNA from 1 species